rnacentral:tRNA from 2 species
GGCCCCGUAGCUCAGGGGAUAGAGCAACAGCCUUCUAAGCUGAAGGUCGCAGGUUCGAAUCCUGCCGGGGUCGCCA